GCAUAUCAAUAAGCGGAGGAAAAGAAACCAACUGGGAUUGCCUUAGUAACGGCGAGUGAAGCGGCAAUAGCUCAAAUUUGAAAGCUGGCGUCUUUGGCGUCCGCGUUGUAAUUUGUAGAGGAUGCUUCGGCGAGGGCUCCGGUCUAAGUUCCCUGGAACGGGACGUCAUAGAGGGUGAGAAUCCCGUAUGUGAUCGGUUGCCUAAGCCAUGUGAAGCUCCUUCGACGAGUCGAGUUGUUUGGGAAUGCAGCUCUAAAUGGGAGGUAAAUUUCUUCUAAAGCUAAAUACCGGCCAGAGACCGAUAGCGCACAAGUAGAGUGAUCGAAAGAUGAAAAGCACUUUGGAAAGAGAGUUAAAAAGUACGUGAAAUUGUUGAAAGGGAAGCGCUUGCAACCAGACUCGUCCGCAGUUGCUCAGCCGGUCUCUUGACCGGCGUACUCUUCUGCGGCCGGGCCAGCAUCAGUUCGGGCGGCCGGAUAAAGGCCUCGGGAAUGUAGCACCCUUCGGGGUGUGUUAUAGCCCGGGGUGGAAUGCGGCCAGCCUGGACUGAGGAUCUCGCUUCGGCUAGGAUGCUGGCGUAAUGGUUGUAAGCGGCCCGUCUUGAAACACGGACCAAGGAGUCUAACAUCUAUGCGAGUGUUUGGGUGUCAAACCCAUGCGCGUAAUGAAAGUGAACGGAGGUGGGAACCCUCACGGGUGCACCAUCGACCGAUCCUGAUGUCUUCGGAUGGAUUUGAGUAUGAGCAUAGCUGUUGGGACCCGAAAGAUGGUGAACUAUGCCUGAAUAGGGUGAAGCCAGAGGAAACUCUGGUGGAGGCUCGCAGCGGUUCUGACGUGCAAAUCGAUCGUCAAAUUUGGGUAUAGGGGCGAAAGACUAAUCGAACCAUCUAGUAGCUGGUUCCUGCGA
rnacentral:rRNA from 1 species